rnacentral:lncRNA from 1 species
AGCAGAUGGGAGAAUUUAAUUCAUUUUGGAACUCCGAGUACACGAUGAAAAGUGUAACACAACUUACUCAGAGAAGCUUAAAAGUACAGCAAAAUAAUAUAAGGUCAAAAAUGUCUGUGGUACAACGGCAGCUGCAAGAUAUGAAUAAAAGAAGAAGCUGAGUGCUGCCAUUUCUUGCUUCAGUAGGUUAUAACGUAACAGAUUUAUAUAAUUAACCAUUUGUACAUUCAGUUGAACAACAAUGCUAACAGGAGCACAAGAGAAUUUUCUAAAUUUAAACAUUAUUUUAAUAUAGUUCUUGGGUUUUGUUAUUUACAUCUACAUAAAACACUACUUUUAUGUUAUCGUACUAUAUCUUCAAACUCCUUGUAACAUCUUGCAGAUCUUAUGAGAUGCAUAUUGAAAGAGAAAUUAAGAAAUGCAUAUUGAAAGAGAAAUACCUUAUUUUGCUAAUGUACAUUCUUGAGUUACAUAUACUUACAGCAUAAAGAUAACUGUGCUACAGAGGCAUACAGCUAAACAUCAGAAAUCAGCAUUCCAAACCAAGUGAUUGAUUCUCUCCCAAAAUCAGUUUUACAUUGAAUAUAAAUUGAGAAAAACACAGGUAGGCCAGCAGGAGGUCUCAAAUGCAGGUGAAAUUAAAAAUAAAUACUGAGGUUUAAAAAAGUCCAUUUUUUCAUUCUCACUGAAAUAGAUUCAUUGGAAAUACAGAGAGCAAUUGCAGUUUUCAAUCGAAAACAGCUCGGAGCUGUUCUUGAUCCUAAAUUUUAGAAAUUUUUUGAAGGCUAAAAAAAGCAUUGAAAAGUUGUAUUUCAGUUCAAAUUAAGCAAGCUGAUUUGUUUAUUUAUUAUGUGCCUGAGUUACAUUAUCCACUCUGAUGUAAGUAAAAAAUAAAUUACAUUGAUUUUCAUGCUUAGAGGGCUAAAAUUCAGAAAGGCAAAUUCACAAACACAGCCCAAGAUCUGGACAAGUUCUAAAAGGAAAAAGUCAAAGAAAAUAUUCCCCAGAAACCAAGACAAGAAGCAAAGAGGCAGUUUUGUUAUUCUUGCCUGCCCCAUCUCCCUAACACAUAUCACACAUGAAGCCUGGAGUCAAGGGCACGUUCAGCAGCACGAUGCACUAAAGCUCAGGUCACAGUGCUGAGCACACAUUCAGAUAUCCUGCAGACACAGGCCACUUAUACACCAGCAAAUUAAACAUGUCUGACAUCACUCACAGAGUAGAAGGCUCUGACAUAAUUCACAGAAUAGCUGGCAUCUACACUUAAGAAAUUGUUGGGAAUGGGUAACUGAAGGCAAACUGCCCAUUGAGCGUUCUCCUGAGCUGCUCUGAAU